CAUAGCACUAAACAACAAAUACCACUAAUCUAACUCAACCUCCUAGAAAAACACUGAGCCAAUCUAUAAACAUAGAAGAACUAAUGCUAAAACUAGUAACAAGAAAAAUUCUCUCAGCACCCCUGUAACCCAGAAAUAGAAAAACUACUGGACCUUAACAGACCAUAAUAGGCAAAACACAAUCUAGUGUCCCACCAACUGUUAAACCGACACCGGAGUGCCACCAAGACAGAUUAAAAGUUAUUUAAGGAACUCAGCAAAACUUGUCCCAACUGUUUACCAAAAACAUAGCCUUUAGCCACACAAGUAUUAAAGGUCCCGCCUGCCCAGUGAACUUCUUUCAACGGCCGCGGUAUUCUAACCGUGCAAAGGUAGCGUAAUCACUUGUCUUCUAAAUAAAGACCUGUAUGAACGGCUAAAUGAGGACAAAACUGUCUCUUAUAACAAAUCAGUGAAACUGAUCUCCCAGUACAAAAGCUGGAAUAAACCCAUAAGACGAGAAGACCCCGUGGAGCUUAAAACAAACCACUACCACACCAACCCUAGUGCAAUGUUUUGAGUUGGGGCGACUUCGGAAUAAAAUUAAACUUCCGAGCAUAGAACCACCACUUCCAACUAAGGCCAACAAGCCAAAACCAUAACAUGACCCGGCCAAGAUGCCGACUAACGAACCAAGUUACCCCGGGGAUAACAGCGCUAUCUUCUUCAAGAGUCCCUAUCAACAAGAAGGUUUACGACCUCGAUGUUGGAUCAGGACACCCAAAUGGUGCAGCCGCUAUUAAAGGUUCGUUUGUUCAACGAUUAACAGU
rnacentral:rRNA from 1 species